rnacentral:rRNA from 1 species
GGGGGGGCAAGCGUUGUUCGGAUUUACUGGGCGUAAAGGGCUCGUAGGCGGCCAUCUAAGUCGGUUGUGAAAUCCCUCGGCUCAACCGGGGAACUGCGACCGAUACUGGAAGGCUUGAAGCCGGGAGAGGGAUGCGGAAUUCCAGGUGUAGCGGUGAAAUGCGUAGAUAUCUGGAGGAACACCCGUGGCGAAGGCGGCAUCCUGGACCGGUCUUGACGCUGAGGAGCGAAAGCUAGGGUAGCAAACGGGAUUAGAUACCCCGGGUAGUCCUAGCCCUAAACGAUGAAUGCUUGGUGUGGCGGGUAUCGAUCCCCUGCCCGUGCCGUAGCUAACGCGUUAAGCAUUCCGCCUGGGGAGUACGGUCGCAAGGCUGA